GGGGGCGUGGCGGAAUUGGCAGACGCAGCGGACUUAAAAUCCGCCGACUUUGGUCUUGUGGGUUCGAGCCCCACCGCCCCUACCA
rnacentral:tRNA from 1 species